rnacentral:rRNA from 1 species
UUGGAGGGCAAGUCUGGUGCCAGCAGCCGCGGUAAUUCCAGCUCCAAUAGCGUAUAUUAAAGUUGUUGCAGUUAAAAAGCUCGUAGUUGAAUUUCGAGAUCAAAUUGUUGGUCGUGCCUUGGUACGCACUGGCAUUAUUGGUUUCUCCCUUCUGACGAACCAUGAUGUCAUUAAUUUGGUGUCUUGGGGAAUCAGGACUGUUACUUUGAAAAAAUUAGAGUGUUUAAAGCAGGCUCACGCUUGAAUACAUUAGCAUGGAAUAAUGAAAUAGGACGUUUGAUUCUAUUUUGUUGGUUUCUAGGAUCGACGUAAUGAUUAAUAGGGAUAGUUGGGGGCAUUAGUAUUCAGUUGUCAGAGGUGAAAUUCUUGGAUUUAUUGAAGACUAACUACUGCGAAAGCAUUUGCCAAGGAUGUUUUCAUUAACCAAGAACGAAAGUUAGGGGAUCGAAGACGAUCAGAUACCGUCGUAGUCUUAACCAUAAACUAUGCCGACUAGGGAUCGGAUGAUGUUAAUUUUUUAAUGACUCAUUCGGCGCCUUACGGGAAACCAAAGUGUUUGGGUUC